rnacentral:rRNA from 1 species
UACGUAGGCAGCGAGCGUUGUUCGGAGUUACUGGGCGUAAAGGGUGUGUAGGCGGUUCUUUAAGUUUGGUGUGAAAUCUCCCGGCUCAACCGGGAGGGUGCGCCGAAUACUGAGGGACUCGAGUGCGGGAGGGGAAAGUGGAAUUCCUGGUGUAGCGGUGAAAUGCGUAGAUAUCAGGAGGAACACCGGUGGUGUAGACGGCUUUCUGGACCGUAACUGACGCUGAGACACGAAAGCGUGGGUAGCAAACAGG